CGCAACUUCUGCUUCACUGGAGGACAAUCUGCUCUCAACGGUAGCUUGUGCAUAACGAUAUCGGUAUCCAACCCUGGCAUAUCUUGAUAAGACCAGGCAAAGAUGUCGACAUACUCUUUCAACAGCGCUACCAUUCUGCUCUUGACACUUUCCUCCAAAGCAGCCCCGACUUUCACUUCUUUCUUGACCUCGUCGGUACCGAAGUUCACAAUCUCAACCUGCUCUUCGUGCGGCUGAAUCACCUUCUCCUCUUGUUUCAAUAACCUGGCUAAUUC
rnacentral:lncRNA from 1 species